GACGAACGCUGGCGGCGUGCUUAACACAUGCAAGUCGAACGGAAAAGCGCGUCCUUGGACUCGUGGAUGAGUGGCGAACGGGUGAGUAACACGUGAGUAACCUGCCCAUCACUCUGGGAUAAGCACUGGAAACGGUGUCUAAUACUGGAUACGACCACCCGCUGCAUGGGGUGGUGGGGGAAAGUUCUGGCGGUGGUGGAUGGACUCGCGGCUUAUCGCUUUGUUGGCGGGGUAGUGGCGUACCAGGGCUUCGACGGGUAGCCGGCCUGAGAGGGUGACCGGCCACAUUGGGACUGCGAUACGGCCCAGACUCCUACGGGAGGCAGCAGUGGGGAAUAUUGCACAAUGGGCGGAAGCCUGAUGCAGCGACGCCGCGUGCGGGAUGACGGCCUUCGGGUUGUAAACCUCUUUCGCCAGUGAAGAAGCGAAAGUGACGGUAACUGCUGAAGAAGCACCGGCUAACUACGUG
rnacentral:rRNA from 1 species